rnacentral:sRNA from 1 species
GCUGGGCACAGUGGUUUAUGCCUAUAGUCCUAGCUACCCAGGAGGCUGAGACAGGAGAAUCACUUGAACCCAGGUCUUUAAUACCAGGCUAGGCAACAUAGGGAAACCCUAUCUCAA